CCUACGGGCCGCACCAGUGGGGAAUAUUGCACAAUGGGCGCAAGCCUGAUGCAGCCAUGCCGCGUGUAUGAAGAAGGCCAUCGGGUUGUAAAGUACUUUCAGCGGGGAGGAAGGCGAUAAGGUUAAUAACCUUGUCGAUUGACGUUACCCGCAGAAGGAGCACCGGCUAACUCCGUGCCAGCAGCCGCGGUAAUACGGAGGGUGCAAGCGUUAAUCGGAAUUACUGGGCGUAAAGCGCACGCAGGCGGUCUGUCAAGUCGGAUGUGAAAUCCCCGGGCUCAACCUGGGAACUGCAUUCGAAACUGGCAGGCUAGAGUCUUGUAGAGGGGGGUAGAAUUCCAGGUGUAGCGGUGAAAUGCAUAGAGAUCUGGAGGAAUACCGGUGACGAAGGCGGCCCCCUGGGCAAAGACUGACGCUCAGGUGCGAAAGCGUGGGGAGCAAACAGGAUUAGAUACCCGAGUAGUC
rnacentral:rRNA from 1 species